rnacentral:sRNA from 1 species
AAGAGUUGCCUUGGUCAUGGUGUCCAUCCAUAACCAGUGAAACCCUAAGUAUCUAGUAGAGGCACUUUUUUGAGAGCUUAAAUCAAAGAAUUCUACCUCAGAAAUCCUUCACACUUAGAAUUUUCGGAUCAUUAAUUUCUUGUCUGCUUGCUUACAUUGUAGCCAUUAAGAAGCUAAAAGUCAUUGAGCUGAGAACUCACUUUGUUGCCCAGGAAUGUGAUUCUCUUGCUUUAGCCUCUCAACUGGAACUACAGUUGUGCAUCAUCACAAUCCAGAUCUAAAUGAAGACGUCUCGGCUACCUCUCCAGCACCAUAUCUGCCUGCCAUGCUUCGUGCCUUUGAAUAUAAUGGACUGAACAGGUUGUUGAGGUGGUACUCAAGGAAUCAAAACACUAAGACUACUACUCCCCACCACAUUUUGAUGAAGGUAGUAAUAAAUUUCAAAUUCUGGGUCUAUUAGGCCUCAGUGAAUAAAUACAGGAGUAUAAAUAUAGUGUUUGAGUUUUGGUAUAAGACCAUUAUAAAGAGAAUUCAAGUAACAAUGUUAGUAUGUGAUAUUUCUAUAGCCUUUAAAGUUUUAAAAUAAUUUCACAUUUUAUUCAAUGCUUGCAACCUCUGAAUAAAGAAUUAAUUGUAUUUCAAUAAGAAAGCUGUCUGAGUGAAUUAAGGAAAACAGGCUAAGACAAGAUGUACUUUUAAGGCAUCUGGGAGGAUACUUAAGCUGAAUAAAAGAAAUCUGAAUCUCAAAUUAACCACUUGCAUUACUUUCUUAUUGCUGCUGUUAAAUAUAGUGGAUUAAAACAAUAGAAAUAUUUUUAUAGUUCUUUAGAAGUCAGGGAUAGGGUGAUAGUGGAAUGUAUUUCAUUCUAGAGGGAGAAUAUAUCUGUUUAGAUUGUGCGAUGAACUGGAUUCCUUUCUGUUUUAGGAAUGAGGUCAUCACUUUUUCUGAUGCUGUAGUCUGAGAGGUGUUUCUAGUUUGUGGAUGCUGCCAUGUUCCUCAGUUUCUCCUUCCUGCCUUCAAAGUUAGCAAAGUGGAUUGAGUCUUCAUAUUGUAUCUCUCUGGUAAGAAGAGGUUCUCCAAUUGCAUUAGUUACUUUUCUCAUUGAUGUGAAAAAAAAAAAAACCUGACAAAGCAACUUAAGGGUUUAUUUUUGUAUGUCCACUUUGAAGGUACAGUUCGACAUGGCUGGGAAGGCAUGGUGGUAUCCAGAGGUCUGCAAUAUCAACUACAUCUGCAGAAUAUCUUUUGUUUGCCUUGUAAGGUGACAUCUACUCAUCCUGGAGAUCAGAGUAUGACAUCUUGAUGGGGAUUCAUUAUUCUGAGUAAUAUAAAGCUUUAUUUCAUUAGGUUAUUCACUUUUUAUCAACCCUUUCAAAUGUAAUCUCUACUCCUUUAUUUUUUUCCUCAACAUAGAAAUUUUAUUAAUUAUUUGGUAAUUUCAUACAGUGUACCUAGUGCUUCCCAUUCCUCCCAGGUCCACCCUCCCAACUUUUUACUCCCACAAACACCACCAAGUCCAAUUUGUGUUACUCAUAUGCUCAUUGGAAAUGACUAAACUUCCAGGGCCCAGCCUCUUAAAGAAAACUGGGUCUUUCCUGACUCCCACCCCCAGCCAGAAGCUAUCAACUUUGAAGAACUACACUUCAAUACUUGUAUCAAAGUUUUUAAGGACUCUCUUUAAUAGAUCUCUGUCUGGACUUUAUUUUGGGCAGGGAUUCUCACAGAAGCCUUCAAUAGGUCUCAGUCUUAGGAGUCUGCAGAUGGCAGCACAAGAUAUUAGCAAUGAAGAAUGGUAAUUAUGAUCCAUAUGGUUUUCUAGCAGCAACUCAGAUCACGACACCAGCAUGGCCUACAUGGUAAUACAGACCACAGAAGUUUUUCGAGGAGACUUAAUCCAGAAAAUGAACCAUUCUUCAUCUCCAAUAUCUUGUUGUUCAGAGUCAUGGUGAUUGUACAGUGUGGCAGCAUGUUAGGGGUAGGACCUGCUAGAAAUCCAGGCUGUUGAACUCCAAUCCUGCCCUGGGCCUGGUCAUCCUGCCAGCUCUGGAGUCCCCAAUCUCCCCUCCUCAGUCAGGUAAGCACUUCCGACUGCAGCAGUGGCAGAGGCUCCACUGUGUUGUCUAGUGGCAACACAGGCUUAGCAGGUAGCAAUGGGGACAGGCAGGCCUACUGGUAGCCCCAGUCUCCUAGCUGCCCAAGAACUAGGCCCUAUUUGUUCCUUAUGUGCUCCUUCAUGCAUUGUAUCUCACUUCUAUACUUGCUGCCACGGUGUUUCUAGUUCACUUUCUUUCUAGUGAAACCACUUUUUAAAAGCAUCUUCCUGUAAGACCUUCCCUUUUAUUUUAGUUGUUCGGAGAUAUUGUCAGCUCUGCAGGCUCAUCCUCUGCUGUCAUAUCUCCCCUUGAAGCUUCCAUGGUCUCUCAGGCUCCUUGGACCUGUCCUGAGAUCACACAGGUUCUGGUGGCCAUGACCAUCUUGAAAUCUCUUUCUCUGACUUUUUUUUAAUGGCAUGAGAUAUUAACAAGCAUCUUAAUUGUUAAUUAAGUUAAUGACAAAGCACACUCAUGGCUGCAAAGGGAGAAGACGAGCAUCUGUCUGGUACUUCUCAUGAAUACACGAAUCCCAUGCAUCAGGAUCCCACAUGUACUCAUUUAACUUACUUCUUUAAAGCCCCUAUCUCUAAAUAUGGACAGUUGGAGAUUAGCGCUUUCAAACGGGUAUUUGGGAGCCCAGUUUAGUCCAUAGUUAAGCAUGCUUAUGAUUUUCUCUGUGAAGCACAUGAUGACAAAUGAAAUCAGAAGGCUGAGGUAGGAGAGGGAAGAGUUUGAAAAAGAAUUAGAGAGCAGUUAAACACUCACUAGAGAAAAAGUUAACACUACCAUUUGAAGUUAACUGUAGUCAUUUGUUUAGAAUCAAAUCUGGACAUUUCUGUGAUUUCUUCCAGUUAGGUAAUCUGAUGUUACAGGAAAAAUAAAAAGAGAGGGAAAAAAACAAAAGAAAGAAAAGAUAUCUGAAUCCAACCAGGAACUGAACUUAGACGAAUAAGAAUAAAAAGAAGCAUAAUGUUUUAUAGGACAAGUGAUCGUGAGUAGCAAUGAAGAAGAUGAUAUAAAUAAUAGUUUUAGUUGUCUAAUUACACAUCCAAAAAUUACAACCUUAAAAGAAAUACUUUGCCCACAGUUUUGUAGAGCAAUGUGAGAAGUGCUCAGAGAGGUUUCUCUCUGCUGCAUUGCUGUCAUUUAGAGCAGCCUGUACUUUAGAAUCAGUUGUCUUUACAGCCUAUGAGGAAUGGACUUUUCAAUGUUAUGGAGGUGGGGGACUAUCUUACAUGGCAUCUGACCAUCUAAGAGCUCCCAAAGGACAUGGAAGAUAACAGGAUAAUGAAAGGAAAAAUCUGGAAUUGUCGGUGUUGCACUUGUAACAUUCUACUGAUAUAAUCAGUCACAGAGCCUACCCAGAUUCAAGGAGGUAAAACAACUCUAUCUCUAGAUAGAAGAACUGUAAAGUCACAUUAUAGAAGAACAAAGAGGAGUGUAACAACAGAAAACAACCCUAAAAGCCCACAAUACAGUGAAAGAGGGAGCUAUAGAUAUAAUAAUGACAAUGAUAUAAAAAGUACACAAGUGCUGUCAUGGUGUUACAAAACAAAGCCCAGGCCAGGUAUAUCUUUCUACUCAAAGAAUUCUACAGGCAGAGGCAGGAGGAUGGAUGGUAAAGUUUGAGAUUAUCUUGGGUUACAUAGUAAGAUCCUGUCUCAAAACCAAUAUCCACAAAACCCAAAGCCCUGUAUAAAAUAGACAAGAAACAAUUUUGACUUAAAAACAAAAAUAAAAUCUCAUUACAGCCAAAGUGUGUGUGUGUGU